UUUGCUUUAUAUCCUAUUCAUGCUACAAAAGCCUCCUGCCAUGAAGAAACGAAACAAGCCCAUCCCAUUUUCAGUUUGAAACUGAGUCACAGUUUUCUCAAAUAACUCAAAUAUUGUGCUUCACUUUACUUUAUUAACAGGUGGCAUAUUGAUGCACCCAUUUCAUUGAUGUGGCACAGGGAACAGCCCCAUUUGAAGUCAAAGGAUGCUGACUCCAAAGAGUCCCUCGGAGCUGUCCUGAAACACAGUAGCAGAUUGCAUCAUGCAGCAUUAUACCAUGAGAGACUCAAAUGGCUGCUAGGCAAAUGGCAGCCUGAGGAUUUAAGAGCUCUUUAAAGGAAAUACAAAUAUGUGCCAUGGAAAUGGCUGAGAACACAUUCAGCUAAAUAAACAGCAGUAGGUAGGCUUUUUAGUUUCUAAAGCACAGUGUCUUCUUGAAUAUUUUCCCAUUCUAUCUCCAAGUAGUUUAUUUAAUCCAAGUUGGUCAGUGCAGAUGUUCUACCACACCCUCGGGUGAAUUUUAAUAACAUAGAUAUUAGUAGUUCUGUGUCUGCAGAGCGUGACCUCUUUGGAACCCACCUGCCUGGCUUUGCAUUCUUGCCUCUGCCAGGCACUAGCCUGUGCCCAUGGUGAAGUUCACAUCAUCUCUGUGUGCACCACAGAGAAUCUUCAUCUCUACAAUGGGGACAGCAAUGGAAUCUAUCUUUUGAGUUUGUUAUGAGGAUUAUAGUAGUUGAUCCAUGUGAAGAACCUGGAAUACUACCUCCACACACUAAGAAUCUUGCCAGCAUUAUCUCCUGUGCCAUCAAAAGGGGAAAAUCAUCAUGAUGGGGGUCACUGAACAAGAUAUAGAUUUCGUUUGAAAUUUAAAAAAGAAAAUUGUAUCACAUGGAGUGGACAAGUAUGAGGUUUUAGAUCACACAAACCUCAGGCUGUGUCUUGGAUCUGCUUCCUAUUGGAGUUGACAUUCAUGUAACUUCUCCAAGCCUCAUUUUCCUUAUCUGUUAAAAAAUGCCCACAGUAUGAGGAUUAGUGAAUGGAAACCACAGGAGGCGGCGGCGGCGGCAUUCCUCAGAGCCUGGGAGUCUGGGUUCAGACCCCCUGCCUCUUCCUACCUAAGUGACUGCUAGAGUUUGGAUCUUUAAUGCCACCCCCCAGGCCCAUGUGUUCAAGCCUUGGCCCCCAGGCUGGCACUACGAGGAGGUACUGGAACAUUGAGGAGGAGGAGCUAAUGCCAGGUCUUUGGGUCAUUUAGGAUAUGUCCUUGAAGGGGGCUGUGGGAGGAUGGCCCACUGUUCUUCCUCUCCUUCACUUUCUGGCCCUAGGAGAACAGACCAGCUCCAUUACUUGGUCCUGUUGUAAAGUGGUGCCUUGCUGUGGGCCUGAGGGAAAGAGGCCACUCCAUCAGCCAUGGGUGACUGGAACCACUGAAACUGUGAGCCAAGGAAAGAGUGUGUGUGUGUGUGUGUGUGUGUGUGUAGAUAGGUAGAGAAAUAUAUAGAUAAAUAUAGAAAGAUCUACAUAUAUAUAAGGUAUUUAUUAUAAUAGCAUAAAACUGACUAACAUGGUGAUGAUGGAAAUGACAUUUAUCCUAUCUGAACAUCGGUUUCUCCAUCUGAAACAAAGGAGCAAUAAAGCCUCUCCUGUGGUGUUGGGUGUCGGUUAAGUGAGACCUGUGUGCAGUUCCUAAUGUGUCAUCGGUGCUCAAGAGAUUGUAACAGUUUUAUCACUCUCCAUGUUUUGAAAUGACCUGGGUAACUGCUACCUUCAAAGCCAUACCACAUAAUAAAGACUUUAUUUUAAUUGUUCUAAGAUAGAUAUAAAAUUUAAAGCUACUUCAGGUGUACAGUUCCCCGGUAUGAAAUGAAUUCACAAGGUUGUAUGCAAAUCUAUUUCUAG
rnacentral:lncRNA from 1 species